GCAAAACUCAUCAAACCUGUGAGAAUGCCCUCCAAAUCGCAUCGGACCUAGAGGAGCUGGUAUCAAGCACACUACCGUAGCUCAUGACACCCCGCUUAGCCACACCCCCACGGGAUACAGCAGUAAUUAAAAUUAAGCAAUAAACGAAAGUUUGACUAAGUUAUAUAACAACUAAGGGUUGGUAAAUCUCGUGCCAGCCACCGCGGUCAUACGAUUAACCCUAAUUAAUAAACCCCGGCGUAAAGAGUGUUAAAGACAAAACUAAAAUAAGAUUAAAGUUUACCCAAGUCGUAAAAAACUACAGGUAAAAAAUANNUCCACAUACGAAGUUAUCUUAGUACACCUGAAUGCACUAAAGCUAAGAUCCAAACUGGGAUUAGAUACCCCACUAUGCUUAGCCAUAAACACAGACAUUUAACAACAAAAAUGUUCGCCAGAGAACUACUAGCAACAGCUUAAAACUCAAAGGACUUGGCGGUGCUUUAAACCCACCUAGAGGAGCCUGUUCUAUAAUCGAUAAACCCCGAUAAACCUCACCACUUCUUGCUAAUUCAGCCUAUAUACCGCCAUCUUCAGCAAACCCUAAUAAGGAAAAAAAGUAAGCACAAAUAUACUCAUAAAAACGUUAGGUCAAGGUGUAGCUAAUGAAGUGGUAAGAAAUGGGCUACAUUUUCUUACCUUAAGAAUAUUAACAGUAAUCUUUAUGAAAUCUAAAGAUUUAAGGAGGAUUUAGCAGUAAAUUAAGAAUAGAGAGCUUAUUG
rnacentral:rRNA from 1 species